GGUGGAGAGAAGAGGGCAUACUCAGCGCAUGCGCCAGAAGCCAACUGCGGCGAUCUCGGAGAAGCAGUCCUUUAACUUGCAUCAGCACUGCGGCUUAAGGCUACGCUGGUUCUCUUUCGCCUGUCCAGUUCUACCUUGGCCUGUGGAGCCACCCUAGACCCGCGGAAUCUGUGCCGCUGCUCCCUCUACCCUCUCUUCCGGCGGCCAGCACUAAGAAUUUGUGCUACGACGCUCGAUUCAGCCAGAAGGUGGCACCAAGUGUGAUCAGAAGCCAUGCCACUGGUGAAGAGGUAUAUUGAACCCUGCCUGGCCCAGUGAGGUUACUAGAGAAUUGGGAGAGGCUUAGAUCAAUGUCCUGCACAUGGCUAUCUACUCAUUGUGAAGUCUUGAAAAUCACCUGGGAUGCCUGUUAAAAAUGCAGAUUCUUGAGCAGCCAGAACCUUGUCAUUGGUCAAGAGCAACACUAAGACCUACCUGUCACUUAUGUUGAGGCUUCUUGCCCAGUGGGUUCAUCAGCAAGCCAGAAUGAAUCGCCAUUGCCAUGGAUGUCCUUGUGAGGCAGUUGGGAAUUCUUGUCACAGAAGCUGCAAUGAAUUCUCUCAUGGCCCUGAAGUAUGGUUUGUUCCCAUGGUGAAGAACCUAACAGAAGAUUGAUAGCGUGGACAUUUCUGGCAUCAGGGAUGAGGUUUCAGGUGUACCAUACAGGGGUUCAGCAACUCCAUAUAUUUAUUACUCAGUGUUCAACUCAGUGUUCAUCAAGGAGACCUUUAGAAACAACUUGUCAAGUCCUCACCAUGAAUACCAUUGGAAUUGCAGUUGGAAUGGCAUUGAAUGCGUAGAUUUAAUUUUUGGAGAGCUAUCGUCUUUAUAAUCUCCUCAUACAUGAAUGUGAAGUGCUUCCUCUAUCCUGCAAGCUUCUGGGAACUCAGUGCCCAUUGUGUACAGGAUAUUUACCCAUUGAAGACCUUCAUGCCCUCCAAUAUAAGGCUAACUGGGUUCUCACUACAGAAGUUUAGAAUCAGAGAGUUUCUUCUCUCUGCUGCCUUUUGAGCUGCGGCACUAUGCUGGGAGAUGGGACUAUGGAGACGAAUUUAGGCACAGUCCCUGCCCUCAGGUGUUCUCAGUCUAGUGAGAGGGUUCGACGUGUACACAGAUAAUUACAACAGUAUGGUAUGCUCUACAAUGGAGGUAUGUACAAGAUACUAUGGGGUUUAGAAGAGAAAUCAUUUGAUUGAGUAUAGAGAUGCCAGAGGUUGGAGGAACUGAUGCUUAAGUGGCUUAAAAGAAGUAACGCUAGACUAGGAAGAAGACAGGGAAGUACCUGUUAAACAUAGGUGUGGACAUUGGAGAUAGAAUGAUGACAUGGGGGAACUACAAGUAGUUCCUAAAAUUCAGACGUGGGCUGACACUAGGUCCUUAUGUAGUAUUCACUGAAAUAUGGAUUUCAUUUUGAGUGUUUAAGUAGGAGAUGCUUUUGAUGGUCACUCUGGCAGUAUUCUAGAGUAUGUUCUGGAAGAUACUCAGAUCUGGACAGGGAGAUUAGUUAGUAGGUAAGAUGAUAAAUUACCUAAGGCCAGAAGGAGUGGGAGUGGAGGAAUGGAGCUAACCUCUUAAUGAGAGGCUGUACAAACAUGGACAUAAGAGAACAUGGGAAAACUAAUAGAGGGGGCAAUUAAGGCUCUCAGACUUUGGCAAAUGUGCAAUCACCUAUCUCCAUCCCUGGCCUUUAUGAGAAAUCCUCUCAUGUUUUCUGGAAGAGCAUUGCUGCUGUUUUCUUUUGAAACAGGGCUUAACUGUACUGUUUUUUGCAAGUUUCUUUUUGGGAUGGCAGCUGUGUAUGAAAUGUUGAGUCUCAGAAGGACGUCUGAACAGCUGCAGACCUCUCAUAGGAUUACUUAGUUCCUGAUCCUUCUCACCAGUAGCAAUUCUCCCUCACUGCCACCUGUCACCCAAAGUCAGAGUGAGGCUCUCAUCUCUCAGACCCCCUGAGGGAAGAGACAGCGCUUAUUGUUACUGUCUCAGUUCUGUUUUGCUUAGGGAUUUUAGUGUUUAUGCUUACCUCCCAGUAAAAUACAUUCAGUAAUCAAAAAUCUGUACAUGCAGUAUUCGUUUUCUCUUUUUCAAAGCAAUAGGAACAUGUCCUUUGGAAAAUUCUCCACCCAGGGCUCAGAGGAGUGACCUUGGGAAUUCAAGGAAUGGAUCUCUUUGACUAGAACAAUUAACAGGAAAUUAUAUUUAAUUAGACCUUAGGUGUUUUCAGUGAACCCUGUGUAAGUAGCCAUCCUAGAGGGUGGUAAGGGGAAGAAGGGAUGGGAAAGGGAGCUCUGAGUAGGACAGCAAAGCAGAAUAGUAAAAGUUUGGGCCUGGGGACUAAAUAGCCUAGGCUCAGAUCUGCUCUUACAUUCACCGGUGUGGUGUCAAGCAUGGUUUUUCACCUCUCUGGUACUUGACUUUCUCUUACGUAAAAUAGGGGUAAUAAUCUUUUUUGCAAUGAUUUGGGGAGGGGGUGAUCUCAAUGAUUUGUAAGGAUUUAUGGAAUUGUUCGUGUAAAUUGCUUGGAAUGAGUCUGAAGUAUGCGAAAUACUGUAUCAACUAUAAUUGCUGCUGCUGCUGCUGUUGACCGUGAAAAGGAUUAAAAGAAGAUAGUUAAGAAGAGGUGCUUAUUAUAUUUUACAUUGUCAAUGAGACUCUUGGGGUUCGAGAAAGAAAGGAUAACAAACUGAUGUGAAGGUUUUCAAUGGUGUGCUAGUAUGAAGUCAAUUCGUCAAUUCUCUGCCUUCUUUUUUCUUCUCUGCCAAAUAGGUUGGGAAGCCAGAUGAAGUUUGUCCAUGCCCUGAUCACUAAUCUAUUGCCUUUGCUCUUAUUUCCAAAUAGAAACCUGUUGAAAAGUUGUGUUACAUCUGAAUAAAGGUUACUCUAAAAAUGUAGAAAAAAUGCUUUGGUGUUGGUCAAAACUGGACUUGAAACCUGACUCAACUGCUUACUAGCUGUGUGAUCUAAGGCAUGUUAUUACUUAACCUCAUUGAACCUCAGUUGCCUCAUCUAAUCAUAAUUAAUUUGCAGGGUUUCUCUGAGGAUAUUUGUCAAGUGUAUGUCAUAAGCACUCUAUAAAUCAUAGCUAUCAUUGUUAGUUCUUGGGAUACUCACCAUGUGACAGAGACAACAGCACGCCCUGGUGGCUGGGAGGACUGCAUGGAUCCAUCCUCAACCUGGAGUUGUGCUCUUCUGAAGAAAUCCUACUCGGAUGGAUAUAAUACAACCUGCUAAGUGUCCUAGCACUUAUCAGGUUGUAUUAUCAUUGUCCGUGUCUAUGGCUCUCGUCUACCAGACUCUAAAUUCCUUACAGGCAAGGACAGUGCCUUAUUCAUCUUUGUAUUCGGUGCCUAAUCCCGUGCACAUUGUAGGCCUCAUUAAAUGUUUGUUGAAUGAAAAACUGAAUCAUCAACAGACAUUAAUUGGGCGCCUGCUCUGUGAUCUCCAUGGGCUCAGCUUUUUCCCGCCAGUUGCCUACAACGUCCAAGCUGUCUUCAAUAUGCUUUCUCCUGAAGCUUACUCCUAUCUUCUAAUUCUUUUGCUGAGGACUUUUCUGUGUAGUGCAAGGAAAGCAAAUAUAUUUACUUCAUCUCAAGUACCAUCUCCAACUGAUUGAGAGUACCUGCCUUGAUUGUGUUUAUAAAAAGGAUUCUGAAGCCAGGUCUCAGUUCAGUGUGAAAGAGCGUUAUGACUAAUCAGCAGUGUUUGCCAAGGGUGGGGGAGGGGGGCAUAACAGCACAAGGGCCAUAUCUGUGUCUUAUUUGAUACUAUGUUUUCCGUGAAAUACUCUGUUUCUAUGCCUGCAUUUUAGUCUUGGCUACUUGCAGAUGUUGCAUGGCUGCCGCUGCCGCUGCCCCUACUACAGUUGCUGCUGGUUGCUCCCUGGGUAGGACCAAAGUGAUCAUUGAUCAGAAACUUCAUCCUCACAGUCUGGGGUUUGCUCCUGUGGCUGGUAUUCACAGUUUCCCCUUUCAACUUUACCUCAGCUAUCCCCUUACCUACCACACUGACAGGUAGGCUUCCCCUUUCCGUUCACCACCCAAAAGGCUCAUAUUUCUUUUCUUAUUUCGUAUGAUUAAUUGUACUUGUUCCAUGAGAAGGCUUCUUUCUGUUAGAAGAUGUGACAACUAGAAUACAAGUUAAACGAUUCCAUCAGGGCACUACAGUGAGUCAUAUAAGCUUUCCCUUUACUGUGGGAGAAAAUUGCAGGCUUUAGGGCAGGAAGAACUGAGAAGGGAUGUGCGUUGUAGAUGUGGGAGAGGAAGACGAUAGCAGAUGGAAUAAGAUCCUGGGAAACGAUGUAGGUUGGGAGGGUGAAACCUGUGCCUCUAAAAUAGGAAUGGAGGGUUGAUAGCCUUGGUUGAAAGGAGUUUACCUCCUCACUGGAGCGUAGGGAUAGGAGUCAGGAAGAGUAGCUGAGAGGGUUGUUGAAGAUUUGUAAUUGCUGAGGUGAGUGAUGGAGAGGAAGCUGACCCGGGACAGGAUUAUGGAGACAAACCAGAGUCUAAGGACUAUUCGGGCCAAAAGGCUGGAGUGGGGCCUUUUGGUAUGUUAAAGUGGGAUACUGUCAUAUUAAAUGAUAGAUGAUACAUUCAGUUAAAGUGAGAAGCCAGUUUGAAACAUGAUUAGAAACUCAGGAAAUUAUAAAGUGGUCUUAGGCCACUGUCACAAGUAAAUUUGAUUGCCUAGGACCAGCCUUCAUUGACUGAGGAGUGGACAGCUAGCAAGAGAAGGGUUACACAGAAAUGAAUUUGGGAAUCCAGGCUAUGUGUGGAAGGCAGUUAGGUCAGAAGUGAGCUCAAAAGUCUGAAUACAAAGAGGACUUGGUGUGAUCAAGAUGGGUGUGGAAUAGUUGGAAAAUUGCAAUAAUAGGACCUGUAAUCAGAGAGUAGAUUUUUAGAGAUUUCAAAACUGGAGUGGUCAAGAUACUUGUGAAACUGGGAUGUCACAUAGUCAGCUACAUAAAUACUGAAGUGAGCCAGGAUUAUAGCAGAAGCUGGACUGGGAACAAACACUGGGGGCCAGAUAGAAUAGGCUUUGGUGCCUGAGGCGUGGUUAGAACUUGGCUCAUGGCAGCGGUGCAGGUGCAAAAGAGGAAAGGAUGUGGCGGGAUAGUAGUAGGAGCCGCAAAAGACUGGCAGGGAUUAUUAGAAGUUACCAAAAAAAAAAUUUAAUUUGCACGUUGCACUGUGGCUUGCAGAAGGCCCAGCUAAAACGAUCCCCUCAUUUACUGAGCUCCUGCUCUCUCCCUGGCACCUUGCUCUGUACUCUCCAUUUACCCUCUUUGGGUCUAUCACAUACCAGGUGUGAGAAUGAGCAGCGGUCCCAAGCAAGGACAGCUAGGGUAGCUGCUGGCCCUCAGAACUGAUGGAAUGCUGUGGCCACCUCAGCAGACUGGGCAGCUUGAAGUGGCAUAAAAAGAUUUCCUUAGGAUCAGAAUUUUCCCUUGACAUUGACCUAACUUUAUUACAUGGUACAAGCUCGUGUUGGCUGUUCCAUGAUGUACUCUGGCUUCCAAGCCUCUGAGUUGGGGAGUAUGCUGGUACUGUCCUUUAAAAAACAAAAACAGGCACAACACUUGAAAAAACACACAUAUUGAUUAACUCUUAAAUAAGACAGUCUGGUUAUCUAUUUGAGCUUUUAAGAUAAAGGAUAGAUCAAAGAAAGCUCACAUCGAUGGGUGAAUAACAAAACCACUUUGGAAAACCACUCUGAGGUUAGGAUUGUCCAGUUUAGUGGACUUACUAUAGAGAACCGCUGUGCUGUUGGGAAGGAGGGCUAGAUAUUGAGGCAGAAAAUGUCCCUUAGGACCCAGAAGGUCAAGUUUAGGAGAAGAGAGUCUCUUUGUGAACCCUGUGACAUUGCAUGUAGUCAUUUUUCUUCAGUUACAGUCUUCACAUGAGUUAUGAAAUUUCAAUGAAGGUUUAGAGCCACUGUGAUAGAGAGACCAGGCCCUCAGACAGCCCAUCCCCUCCUUUGGGGGCUGCUUUAUAUUUAUUCCUCAGGAGGAUCUGGUAGAAGACUUCGUGGGGGGAGAAGAAAAGGCAAGAAGCGGACAAGGACUACAGCCUGUCUUCAUCUCAACUUCACAAAGCAUGGUUCAGCAGAGGGAUCAUCCUCUUGAGACUCUCCAGACCACAGGUUGCUCCUUUCAGUUGCAUGCUUAGCCCUCUCAGCUAUUUUCUCUGUUCAGAAAUUGUAUUAUAUGUGUAUAUACGAACUAUCACUUCCAUAAAGAGUACUCCACAUUCCCAGGGGGAAAAAAUCCCUAAAAUAAGGUGUAAGGCUUGCUCUGUUAGGUUUCCAAUUGUCAGAAAUUGCUGGAUUCCCCAAUGCUGGGGUAUAGGCCACUAGAGAAGAGUUUGGGUUUCAACAGCAAAGGACCCCAGCAUCAUGGAAGGAAGGCAGUCAGCUGACUUGAAAGUAACCCCCAUCCCUGCACUUCAUAUUAUUACUACUUUUUCCUUCUGCUCCUUGUCUAAGAUACCACUGGCGACAGCAAACCAAAGCCAUACUCUCUUCUCCCACUGGCACUUUUCUGGCCUGCGUGAAUGCUGUUAGAAGUCACUCUUUCAUUAGCACGUCCUUCCCAUUUCUUAAGACCCAGAGAGUCAUGAAUGCUAGAGUUGGGGUCGAAUUUGCCCUACUUGGCCUCUGUGGUUGGGGAAUACUAAUGUUAAUCAGCCUCAUACCCACUCACUCCUGAUUUCAUGACAGAUGCUAGAGAAGCUGUAGCCAAGGCUGGCAACCCUGUAGACCCCAGCCCCAGGAUUUAUUUGAUGUCUCAGCUGGUUACAGAAUACUGGUAGGAGGGCUUGCCUUAACCCAGCCCCCCUUCUGAGUUAGUCAUCAGAAAUCAGGACUAGUCUUAGGGUAUAUGUUACAUAAGGACAGAUGCCUCAGGGAUUAAUAGUAAACAAGAUCAGGAGUCCAAGUUACCUUUUCUCUCUCUUGGGGAUGGGUGGCAUAGGGUAAGUGGAAAGUCUUGUGACUUUCAAAUAUAUUCCCAGUGAUUCCUCAGGAUACCCUGGGUCACACCAUCUGCUAUCUUAUCCCGGGUCUUGCCUUUCCUUCAGAGUUUUUCUAGUGCUUCUUGGCUCUCACUAACCACCUUUUAUUCCCUGCCCAACCCUGUUGGGUUUCAGCAGGUGUUUUGUUUUGUUCUUUUCCUUUUCCCUUCCUCAGGCCACCUGUGACAGUUGUCACUUGGGGGGAGCCUUGUUGUGAAUGAGUGAGUGAAGCCUCAGUGAGUGAGUGGAGUGGCACUCGUGUUUUUCUCUGAAUAUAAGGAGAGGGAAGGAGGCCAUGAAAUCCCAUAAUGGAGUAACAAAAAUUUGACAUUUUAGUAGAUACUGGACCUAGAAGCCUAUGUGAAUGAAGGGAACAAACCUGAGAGAUCUUGGAUGUGACUGAAUGAAGAUAGGAGUGAACUCCUUAUUACCCUUAGUAAUGGAGGAAGAGGGGGAAAAGUGUGAGGGAGGUCAUAAAAUCCUUUAUGUCCCCAGAGGAUGCCCUGAAACCAGCUUCAUAAACCCGUGACUUUUUAAGGUGGAUUAAAGAUGAGUUGUUGCACUGCACUACUUCUGUUGCUGUUUGUGUUGAGAGUUGCUGUUCCAAGCCGUUUUCUCAGGUACAGCUGCCUUUGUGGAGACUCCUCUUGACCCCUAUUGAGAAACAGCCCAGAACAAGGUUUGCAACUUAGAACUCUCUGGAUCAGUGACAGAGUUUUAAAGGGGUCGAGGACAGAGGAGGUAGCACAAGUAAUACCAAAUAUCUCAGGUUUUUAUAUAUAUAUAUAUAGGAUGGAUGGGAUAGAGGUGGAGAGCACAAUGGUUUUAGGCAACUCCUAACACCUGGUGAGGCAUAAGGAAACAGUACACUGAGAGGUCAGCCCUUCAGCAUAUUAUUUGUCAAUCUCCAGAGCAUGAUAGAAUAUCUAAAAGUUGUAAAAGAUUCUUUCCUAGAAGAGAUUCAGAAGAGGGGAACUUCCCGUUAUGUAAUGUGGGUAUUACAGCUUUUAAAGAGUUCCCUACAUAGGUCAUGGAGAUUGUUACUCAUAUCAGCCUGUGGGUGACCAGGCGAGUAUUAACUUCGAGGUUUCAUGCCCUUAGAUCCUGCCACUCUCUUGCUUUGACAGGUGUUCAUCUGCAGAAUGAGUCCAGUACUUGAAGAAGUAAGAGGACAACAGGCAUCAGGGGACAACAGUGUGGUCUUCUAACUGAAGAUGGCAACAGAAAAGAUCAUGGACUUGGCUGGUUUGGGGUGGGCUUAUUUGCUGUUUCAGAAUUUAAAAAAUACUUUUUUUUUUUCUUGACAGUAAAAGUAACAGAUGAUCAUUGUUGAAAAGGGUAUAAAUAAAAAAAUCAAGAACACCUGUAAUCAUACAACCCAGAAAACAACUCAUUUGUUUCCUUUUGCCCUUUUAAAAAAGAAUCUCUGUAACACAGUUUUUCACAUUCUUAUUUUAAUUUCAGUUAGUAAACCUACAGUGUUCUGUUCAUUUCGGAUGUACAAUUUAAAAACAAAAUUGACAUCAUAUUGCAUGUUUUCCAUUUUUCUUCAUUUGAAAAUAACGUAUUUCCAUGUCAUUACCAUUCUUUGAAAACACAGUAUUGGUACAUGGUAUUUCAUAGGGAUCUAACAAAAUUUAGGUAGAUAAUUGAAUGCUGCUGGACAUUUUGCAUAUUACCAAUUUUGCCUAUAAAAUGUAAUAAACAUUGUAUGUUAA